UUGGUUUAUCAUCUCAGAACAGUUAGAGGAAUUAAUACAACCUUAUCUUCUUGAUCAAGUCUUCGCCCUAUCACCACCACCGUCAUUGUUUAUCAUCCCUGAAUCUCAGUCAGAUCUUCGAGGUGAUCCUUCUUAGUUAGUGACCGACCACCUUCUAGUAUUUGAUAGGUAGUAUGCUGGCUUCAACGCAAAACCCAUUCUCCUGCUUCGCCGAACCAUUGUAUCCGAGAAGCCGCUCCGUACUAUUUCACCCGCUUCCAACAAGGUUCUCCAUCACUGCCCAUUCGAAAAGAUGUAAACUUUAGUUUAAAUUUUUUUUUUUUUUUGGACUCGUUGAAUGCCUUUUGUUUUGCUCCAUAGGUAGGUCGUAAUGGAGGCUUCUCAGCUUCUGCUAAAAGAUAUCAUUUUGGGAAAGAGUUGCUGAGUUUUGCUUCAGAUAAUUUCUUGCCUCUAGCUCUUGUUACUGAUUUGCAAACCCAACUCUUGGAUGUCUUGCCGACAAAUACUCUCUUUCAACGUUCAGCACAGGUGGAAUAUUUAUAACAUCAGGAAGGGUUGGCUUUACAUACUGAAGCUAUUGGUGCUGCUGUGAAAGGGUGGCCUCUUGGUAUCUUCGGGCUAGUAUGAUCUUGCUUCCUGUUUAGACCUACUAUUUUGUUGCUCACUCCAUCCUUAUCAAGGCUAGUUAUGCUAGUCCAACUCCAACCUCAACAACUUGUUACAGGGCUAAGUAUAUUUUGCUGUAUGCCAACCACCUUAUCAAGCGGUGCUGGGCCUCACUCACGUACUCAACCACCUUACCAAUGCAUCCAAUUUGUCAGGCAUUUUAAGUAGGGUAUCAAGAUACAUAGCCGGAGGAGUACGUAGGGGUUUCGUUUCCUACUGACCAACUAUUCAGAAGUCUUAUAGUUUACUCUGUCACUUAAUCCCUUUAAUCAUUUGCAAGGUUAUUCGGGAAUCAUUCCAAUUCCAAGCAGAGCCUCAUUUGUGAUCUCUUCCCUUUCUGGUGAAACUAUAUAAACUCUGUGGUAUUGCAAACUUCGUUGACAAUAACCGUAAAAAGUGAAUGAACGCAAUCUGCCUCAGUUUGGGAGGAACUUGAUAGUAUGCUUAUCUCAUGAUAUACCUAUUCUUAGGUGCCAUGGAUCCAAGUUAGCAGGUCAAGAUCACUGCUACUAUCCGUUGAGCCUAAGGCUUUUCUUGCAGCCAUUGGCAUUGGAAUAUUGCUGCUGCAUCCCAUCUCUCUUUACUAGCAUUCAAUGCUCUAUCAAUCCGCAUCCUCUCAGGUGAUUAUGAUAGUAAGAACUCCAAGGGAAUUGGCACAGCAGUCUUACUCGUUGCAAGCCAGAAUACGUAUUUGCAAUGUGUAUUGAUUAAAUACACUAGUCAACGAAUGGAUCAGGAAGAGUAAUGCGUCUUCCACUGAAUGUAAAGACAGCUUAAGAAAGAGAGGAGAUAGAAACCAGUGUUGUGGAGUAAGGUUUGGUCAUAUUGUUCUGCAGAUUCAUUUGUUUAAAUUUUCUGAAAAAAUGUUGUAAAAAAAUAUUGUAUUGAUUAACUAAAAACCGUUUGUGAUUUGAUUAA